AUUGAACGCUGGCGGCAUGCCUUACACAUGCAAGUCGAACGGUAACAGGUCUUCGGAUGCUGACGAGUGGCGAACGGGUGAGUAAUACAUCGGAACGUGCCUAGUAGUGGGGGAUAACUACUUGAAAGAGUGGCUAAUACCGCAUGAGAUCUACGGAUGAAAGCAGGGGAUCGCAAGACCUUGUGCUACUAGAGCGGCCGAUGGCAGAUUAGGUAGUUGGUGGGAUAAAAGCUUACCAAGCCGACGAUCUGUAGCUGGUCUGAGAGGACGAUCAGCCACACUGAGACUGAGACACGGCCCAGACUCCUACGGGAGGCAGCAGUGGGGAAUUUUGGACAAUGGGCGAAAGCCUGAUCCAGCAAUGCCGCGUGCAGGAUGAAGGCCUUCGGGUUGUAAACUGCUUUUGUACGGAACGAAAAGCCCCGGGUUAAUACCCUGGGGUCAUGACGGUACCGUAAGAAUAAGCACCGGCUAACUACGUGCCAGCCGCCGCGGUAA
rnacentral:rRNA from 1 species